CACCCCUCGAGCCCCCCGAGGGCUCGGUGCUGGGGCGCUACAGCGGGCUCACCCCGCGCUGUAGGCCCCGAAACGCAGUGGCGGCCUCGCCGAGACCCCGAGCGCAGUAAACGCACAGCGCCUCGCUCAGGGCGUCCGGCGGGUGCCCAGGCCGUGAAACCCCCCAACCUUCAGAA
rnacentral:misc_RNA from 1 species